rnacentral:misc_RNA from 1 species
UCACCAAUGCCGCCAAGUAUACCGACACAGGCGGUCAGAUUUGGCUCACGGUCGCUCUUGAAGAUGACACGGUGCCAGUGCAACAAGGUGGCAAGGUGCCCGGACCGGCAAGUGAUACUGUCACACUGUCACCCUGUCCCCUUGUCGCGAUCCGAGUGCGGGACACGGGCGUCGGCAUCGCACCCGAAGUCCUGCCCCGUAUCUUCGACCUGUUCACGCAGGCGGAACGAUCCCUGGACCGUUCGCAAGGUGGGUUGGGAGUUGGGCUGGCUUUGGUGCAGCGGCUCGUCGAGAUGCAUGGAGGAACGGUGACGGCUUCCAGUGCGUUGGGGCAAGGCAGCGAGUUCGUCGUGCGCCUGCCGGUGGUGCCGCCUCCCGAACCGCAGCCAUCAUUGCCGCCGACCAAAAAAGCCCAGCCGACCGGACCAAACUUGCGGGUGCUGGUGGUGGAUGACAACGUGGAUACGGUGACGACUUUGGCAUUGCUGGUGCAAGAGUCCGGCCAUCAAGUGCGGACGGCAUACGACGGCUCGACGGUCCUGGAAGCGGCCCUCGAUUACCGGCCGAACGUGGUACUGUUGGACAUCGGCCUGCCCGGCCUUCAAUGGUUUUGAGGUAGCGAAGCAGUUACGUCAGCAACCCGCGCUCCACAAUGCCGUGCUCGUGGCGAUGACCGGGUACGGACGGGAAAGCGACCGGCAGCGUUCGCGGGAAGCGGGGUUCGAUCACCACGUGGUCAAGCCGGGCGAUUUCGGGAAGGUGCUGCAAAUCCUGGCAACGGUCUCGGAGUUGCAUGCGCAAUGAAGACGCAAGGAGAAAUCGAGGCUGCCAUCUGCGAAGGGAUCAGUCGCUUUGAGCAGGAAUACCGCGGGCGUGGUCCCAAGGACAUUCGGGCCUACCUGCAGGGCGAUUUUGUGGUCGUCCGGCUCCAGGGUUUGUUGACACCGGCCGAACAACAACUUG